rnacentral:rRNA from 1 species
AUGAAACACUCCUACGGGAGGCAGCAGUGGGGAAUAUUGGACAAUGGGCGCCAGCCUGAUCCAACCAUGCCGCGUGAGUGAUGAAGGCCCUAGGGUUGUAAAGCUCUUUUGUGCGGGAAGAUAAUGACGGUACCGCAAGAAUAAGCCCCGGCUAACUUCGUGCCAGCAGCCGCGGUAAUACGAAGGGGGCUAGCGUUGCUCGGAAUCACUGGGCGUAAAGGGUGCGUAGGCGGGUCUUUAAGUCAGGGGUGAAAUCCUGGAGCUCAACUCCAGAACUGCCUUUGAUACUGAGGAUCUUGAGUUCGGGAGAGGUGAGUGGAACUGCGAGUGUAGAGGUGAAAUUCGUAGAUAUUCGCAAGAACACCAGUGGCGAAGGCGGCUCACUGGCCCGAUACUGACGCUGAGGCACGAAAGCGUGGGGAGCAAACAGGAUUAGAAACUCGUGUAGUCCGAAGUUC